rnacentral:rRNA from 1 species
CCUACGGGAGGCAGCAGUGGGGAAUAUUGGGCAAUGGGGGAAACCCUGACCCAGCGACGCCGCGUGAAGGAAGACGGCCUUCGGGUUGUAAACUUCUGUUCUUGGUGAAGAGGGAAAGACGGUAACCAAGGAGGAAGCCCCGGCUAACUACGUGCCAGCAGCCGCGGUAAUACGUAGGGGGCGAGCGUUGUCCGGAAUGAUUGGGCGUAAAGGGCGCGUAGGCGGCUACGGAAGUCUGGAGUGGAAGUCCUAUUUUCAAGGUAGGAAUUGCUUUGGAAACUCCGCAGCUUGAGUGCAGGAGAGGUUAUCGGAAUUCCCGGUGUAGCGGUGAAAUGCAUAGAGAUCGGGAGGAACACCAGUGGCGAAGGCGGGUAACUGGACUGCAACUGACGCUGAGGCGCGAAAGUGUGGGGAGCAAACAGGAUUAGAUACCCUGGUAGUC